AAACAUAACAUAGAGGGUCCUGCCUGCCCAGUGACAGAAAGUUAAACGGCCGCGGUAUCUUGACCGUGCGAAGGUAGCAUAAUCACUUGUCUCCUAAAUAGAGACUGGUAUGAAUGGCAAGACGGAACUUAACUGUCUCCUUUUCUCCUAUCCUAAUUUCACUUUCCCGUGAAGAGGCGGGAAAAUAUUCGCUAGACGAGAAGACCCUGUCGAGCUUAAGCAAAAUGCUAAUUUCUAACUCCUCUUAAUUAUAUUCUAAUUUUUUCUGCUAAACGUAACUAAGAGAAAAUUAUUAGUACAAGCUUUGGUUGGGGCAACCACGGAGAAGAAAAAUCCUCCGCUUACAAUAGAUAAAAAUAAGACCCUACAAGUCUAAUAUUGUAUAAACAAGUCAAAUGAUCCACCACGGUGAUCAAAGAAAAAAGUUACCGCAGGGAUAACAGCGUUAUCUUUUCUGAGAGUUCACAUUGACGAAAAGGUUUGCGACCUCGAUGUUGGAUCGGGACAUCCUAAGGGUGCAGAAGCUUUUAAGGGUUGGUCUGUUCGACCAUUAAAGUCCU
rnacentral:rRNA from 1 species